rnacentral:lncRNA from 1 species
GAAAAAUUGAAUCUCAGCCAGCUUCCCUUUGGCCUGGUACACACAGACAAAAUCAUUCCUCAGCAAAGCAAAUUCCUCUGCCCCGUUCUGACCCCUGGAAGCCUGGUAGGCUCUCCUAGCUACAUAUGGUCUGAGAGGAGACUACCCCUAUAAUGACUUGUGGAACAAGUGUCCUUUUGGCAGCUCCCCAGUCUUAGCAGGUGAGACAGGCCCAGGCAGGGAAGCAAAUGCUGACAUAAAUGUCUCCUGAAUUGGCAAGAGUGCAGAUGGGAGACUUUACAUUUAAAUGCCCGAAAUCGCCCUGACACCAGGCUGGCCCAGGUAGCCAGAAGAAACAACCUGCCUUUCUAGAAAGCGACAUGUCUGUUUCACCUCCCUGCAAGCUGUUGCUGUACCCCAGAAAUAAAGGAGGUACCAACUGCCAGUGAAGUUAGUCUUCUCUAGGCUUGCCCACUGCUCAGUAGCUAGGUACCUGGCUAGCCCCCAGGAAGGGCCUCUUACAAUGCUAAGUUGCUGCUGGGACUAGUCAAACCUUUGGGACAUGCCCAAUGGGAUUCCUGGGAUGUUCAAACUACCUCACCAACAGGAUACAGAACCAGAUGCCCGACCCCCCCUGCUUGUUGUGAAAGUUGGUGGUUUUCCUGAAAUGAGUCCUCCUGCUCUGUUCUGCAUGUGUGGGCUUCAGACGCCAGCACCAAGAAGCCUUUCCAGAAUGGGGAAAGGACUGAGGGUUGUUCAUCUUUGGGCCCUGGAGAAUUUCCUGGAGGAAAGUGUUCCAGCAACUUCCAGGAACUGGGAAGCCCGGGGCUGGAGAGAAAUUAUGUGUCACCAGCCUCCAAGGGGACCUGGCUGAGAGAUGAAUUUGUGGCAAGGACUUUGGAAUAGUUGAAUAGUGGUCAAAAUAAAUUGCUAAUAACUCACCACUGGACUCUCCGAAAGAGGCCUGUGUUCAUGUAACCAAGGCAACAGCAGACGCCAGCAACCUACUCAUUAGUGCCACCCAGUGAUAAGGCCUCCCCAUGGGCAAGACCCAGGGGCCAUCAAGUAGCAAAGUAGCAAAUGUAGCAAUAAGGGCCUGGGACCCUGAGGUGGCAGGAUCCAAAUAACAAGGCCUCAGUCUUCCCCAAGCCUCAGACAGGGGGGCAGAGGUAGCUGCUAUCAGCUGUCUGGGGUUGGGGAGCCCUGCCCACACCAAGGGUCCCUGUCUUAUAGCCUAUGACCAUUCACCGCAUGAUAACAGACACGUCGGAAUGGCCUCCUCUUAGUGCAUGUGGUUCUCGUUAGUUUAUUUUUCUGGAAUUUGGGGAACUGGACCCCAGGACCAAACAUGCUGGAAACAGUCUAAAAAUAAACAACUACUUGAACCCACUGAA